AGCCUCUUGGUGCUUACCACAGGCUGUGUUGUUAUACUGACUGUAUAGAAAAAGGAGGCAGAGUAAAUCUACCCUGUGUGCACCUCAGUCCAGGCCCUGUGCCUGGCCUGUAUUGUGAAUGGGGGAACAUGG
rnacentral:snoRNA from 1 species